rnacentral:tRNA from 1 species
GGUGGGUUGGCUCAGUGGUUAGAGCGUAGGUCUCAUAACCGAAAGGUUGCGACAUCGAAUCCCGCAGAAGCUG